GCCUACGGGACGCAGCAGUGGGGAAUAUGGGCAAUGGGCGCAAGCCUGACCCAGCAACGCCGCGUGAAGGAAGAAGGCUUUCGGGUUGUAAACUUCUUUUCUCAGGGACGAAGCAAGUGACGGUACCUGAGGAAUAAGCCACGGCUAACUACGUGCCAGCAGCCGCGGUAAUACGUAGGUGGCAAGCGUUAUCCGGAUUUACUGGGUGUAAAGGGCGUGUAGGCGGGACUGCAAGUCAGAUGUGAAAUUCCAGGGCUCAACCCUGGAACUGCAUUUGAAACUGUAGUUCUUGAGUGAUGGAGAGG
rnacentral:rRNA from 1 species